rnacentral:rRNA from 1 species
GUGAACGCUGGCGGCGUGCCUAAUACAUGCAAGUCGAACGAUGAAGCUCUAGCUUGCUAGAGUGGAUUAGUGGCGCACGGGUGAGUAAUGCAUAGAUAACAUGCCCUUUAGUCUAGGAUAGCCAUUGGAAACGAUGAUUAAUACUGGAUACUCCUUACGAGGGAAAGUUUUUCGCUAAAGGAUUGGUCUAUGUCCUAUCAGCUUGUUGGUGAGGUAAUGGCUCACCAAGGCUAUGACGGGUAUCCGGCCUGAGAGGGUGAACGGACACACUGGAACUGAGACACGGUCCAGACUCCUACGGGAGGCAGCAGUAGGGAAUAUUGCUCAAUGGGGGAAACCCUGAAGCAGCAACGCCGCGUGGAGGAUGAAGGUUUUCGGAUUGUAAACUCCUUUUGUUAGAGAAGAUAAUGACGGUAUCUAACGAAUAAGCACCGGCUAACUCCGUGCCAGCAGCCGCGGUAAUACGGAGGGUGCAAGCGUUACUCGGAAUCACUGGGCGUAAAGAGCGCGUAGGCGGGAUAGCAAGUCAGAUGUGAAAUCCUAUGGCUUAACCAUAGAACUGCAUUUGAAACUGUUAUUCUAGAGUAUGGGAGAGGUAGGUGGAAUUCUUGGUGUAGGGGUAAAAUCCGUAGAGAUCAAGAGGAAUACUCAUUGCGAAGGCGACCUGCUAGAACAUAACUGACGCUGAUGCGCGAAAGCGUGGGGAGCAAACAGGAUUAGAUACCCUGGUAGUCCACGCCCUAAACGAUGAAUGCUAGUUGUUGUGGAGCUUGUCUCUGCAGUAAUGCAGCUAACGCAUUAAGCAUUCCGCCUGGGGAGUACGGUCGCAAGAUUAAAACUCAAAGGAAUAGACGGGGACCCGCACAAGCGGUGGAGCAUGUGGUUUAAUUCGAAGAUACACGAAGAACCUUACCUAGGCUUGACAUUGAUAGAAUCCGCUAGAGAUAGUGGAGUGCUAGCUUGCUAGAACUUGAAAACAGGUGCUGCACGGCUGUCGUCAGCUCGUGUCGUGAGAUGUUGGGUUAAGUCCCGCAACGAGCGCAACCCUCGUCCUUAGUUGCUAACUAUUCGGUAGAGCACUCUAAGGAGACUGCCUUCGCAAGGAGGAGGAAGGUGAGGAUGACGUCAAGUCAUCAUGGCCCUUACGCCUAGGGCUACACACGUGCUACAAUGGGAAGCACAAAGAGAUGCAAUAUUGUGAAAUGGAGCAAAUCUAUAAAACUUCUCUCAGUUCGGAUUGUAGUCUGCAACUCGACUACAUGAAGCUGGAAUCGCUAGUAAUCGUGAAUCAGCCAUGUCACGGUGAAUACGUUCCCGGGUCUUGUACUCACCGCCCGUCACACCAUGGGAGUUGUAUUCGCCUUAAGUCGGGAUACUAAAUUGGUUACCGCCCACGGCGGAUG